GACGAACGCUGGCGGCGUGCCUAACACAUGCAAGUCGAGCGAUGAAGUUUUUUCGGAAAUGGAUUAGCGGCGAACGGGUGAGGAACACGUGAUGAAUCUGCCCUCCACUUUGGGAUAACACAGGGAAACCUGUGCUAAUACCGAAUAUUGAAACAUAAGUGGCAUCACUGAGUUUUGAAAGAAUUUCGGUGGAGGAUGACUUCGCGGCCUAUCAGCUAGUUGGUGAGGUAAUGGCUCACCAAGGCAACGACAGGUAGCCGGCCUGAGAGGGCGACCGGCCACACUGGGACUGAGACACGGCCCAGACUCCUACGGGAGGCAGCAGUGGGGAAUAUUGGGCAAUGGAGGAAACUCUGACCCAGCGACGCCGCGUGCGGGAUGAAGGCCUUCGGGUUGUAAACCGCUUUCAGUAGAGAAGAAGCGAAAGUGACGGUACCUACAAAAGAAGCACCGGCUAACUAUGUGCCAGCCGCCGCCGUAA
rnacentral:rRNA from 1 species